CUUCCUCUCGAUCUCAUCUGGACAUCCAGCCCCGCCCCGCCCCUCACAGCCGUCCGCCGCCGCCUCCUACCCCGCCGCCGCGCCUACCCCUACACCAAGUGCCAACACACUCGCACCCAUCCACUACCGGGGACUCGCGGCCUUCUACCGCCGGUGGCACUCGACGUCGCGGCCAUUGGCGGCUCCCCGACCUUGCUACCAUGGCGCCUCCGGGACUCCUCCCCGCUGCUUCCACCUUGACAUUGGUUUCCCCAACACCGCUGGCUUCGCCACUAGGACUCCUUCUAGGCACACUCUAUCUGCCGUCGGACCCAUCCGCCUGGUUCCAAUGGUGAACAUCGCCACCACCCUAUUGUGAGGCGAGGUGAUGUUCUUCGAACUGCCGGCUUGAUUCUGCCUAGGUAAUUUCUUCUUUCUACUGUACCACUUCAUAGAAAAAUUUGACUGCCUAAAAAUUCCCCAAUUUGGUACACUUUUUUUUAUCAGAGUGAGCUUUUCAACGGAAAUUAUACUUUGAUCCUAUCCAAUCUUACCGUGACAGUAAUAUAUUCCCCUUUCCUUUAUAUGAAAGGAAAAUUGCGGCUCUUUAUCAUAUUGUCAUUAUAUUGUAACCGUGUGCAAGUGUGUUCAGUUCAACUAGAUGUAACUCAUUGACAUAUGAGAUUCCAUUGGGCCUGAUAAUCUUGAAUUUUGCUUCACAAUUUAAAAUGUAGUAUUAGACCUAGAGUUUUUAUGUAUUACAGAACCUGUCCUAUAAAUAUGCCAGUUACAAAUAAAGGUGAUAUUGAUGUGGAAACACAACACACAUGUAGUAGAUAAAUUGUAUGAAGUAAAUCGCCUUGGAAUGAUGGUUGCUGAAUGUUACAAUUAUAGUCAUCUACCUGGACGACCUUCAAGCACCAAUAACUUAAUCCUUUUAGGUUUUGUUCUUCUUUCUUUGGUACAAACAUAAUAUUGGUUGGUGCUUCCCAAUACUUGGAUGUGAAAAAUAAAGAAGUUUUACAUUUUAAGAACUAAUAGAUUUUUAACAAGAAAAUAUGGUCCAAGUGGGACUACUACUUCUAAAUAUUUUGUCUUUCACGGAAGGGGAUAUCAUACUUCUCCUAAUCAGGAUUGUUGUGUAAUGGAAUGAUGGUAGGAUGGUAAGUAACUACAUCCUUUUUUGGUAUGGCAAAGAAAAAAAUACAUCUUACCCAUUAGAUGAUUUGCAUCUGCAACUGAAUAAUAAUGGAAGAAAAAGGAGUAGAGGCUUUACCUAAUGUACCUACAGCAACAAUGGGUUGCACCACCAAACAUCACUAGAGGACUAGGAAGGAAAACGGUGAUUUUUCAAUCAGGUUCUAUUGGCCGUUCUAGCAUUAGCAUCAUGAAGAUUCUGGAACAGUGCACGACAUGCCCAAUCCCAAGGUCUUCCCUUAGCUGGUGAAGCACAUGAGCCGGUGUCAAGCAAUAUCCCCUGUAUACUUUGUCCUUGUGUUCUUUCCAGAUGCAAAGCAUCCAGGAUGUGAUCAAUCAUAUGCUGGAGAAUGGCAUUGAGACCUUACUUCACUGGAUAAUGGCAUUUAUAUGCGAUUCCAGUCCUUUCACAGUGCAGAUCAGAUUAAACUAGGUCUUGAUUUCAAGGUUCAGUUAAGGCAGUUGGUGCAGGUUUGUUUGCUGUAAUACUAACUGUGCUAUUUAGACAGAGACAUUUGCUCUUUCUCAUUCCUCGACAUUUUCCUUUGCUACCAAGAUUUUUCAUUCUAGGUUGUGGAAAACGCAUGUCGCGUUCCUUCUACAAGUCGUCAUGAGCUGGGACAUAGAAGAAGAGAGCCGACGAGAAGUCGCAAAGCGGUUCGCUCCGGUGUCGCUGCCAAUGGCGCUGCACAAAGUGCAGAUCGCAGCCCUCAACGUGGUCCAAGUCUAUCUCCGCCAGGUACGGUGCCAUGAGGAAACACCCAAGGUACAUGUGUGUGUGGGCGCUAAUAUAGAUUAACUACAGAUAUGUACAUCGAUCCCAUCAGUGAUCGCCUUGUAAAUCAGCAGCAGCCAGUAGUACACGAAUUCUCUUAUAAAUACUUAAAAAACAUCCUACUUAUUUUAACUCAAAAUUAAGCUACUAUUGUUCUAAAAAUAAUAAAAUCACUUGACUUCGAAAACAAUAUUCUGGUUGAAUUUAAGGUGACUUGCAUAUACUUAAUGCUUUAGUCUAUUCUUUCAAAGUGGAAGUUUAAAAUACUUAUUUUAGAUUUUAUAUGGUGGAGAAAUAAUUUAUUAGAAAUAAUUAUGGAUUUUUAAAUAACUUCAACAUUAAAUGUUGUUGAACAUGCCAUAAGUUGGUGAUGCUUGAACCGAAAACUGUCCAUGAUGCAUGCAUGUCUCCGUAUAGUGUGCUAAUGUAUCAUCGUAUAUUCUUGUUGUUUUCCUUUACCCACAAUAACACAUUAUUCCGCGCAUGUCUUGAAUAAAUGGAUUAUCGCUAGCCUGUUUGUAUGUACUUUUUAAAUCUACAUGCAAGGCAUGUUGAAAUAGACGAGCUGGAAUUGUGGAACAGAUUCCUAGAUUGUAUACCACCUUUUCUAGAUUAGAAGAGAAUGUGAUAUAUUUUUCUCCCGUUGCAACGCACGGGCCCUUUUGCUAGUACAUAUAUACAUAA